rnacentral:sRNA from 1 species
ACAUAGCCCCGAUGGGAACGGCAUCCUUUUUUGUGAUUGCGAAAAAAAUGUUUGAUUGGAUUGAUUAUCGUCGCUCGCAAUCACAAAAAAGAUAUAGUGGACAGCGGGUUGGAAU